CAUAUGUCAAACUACGUGACGAACAUAUCUUAAAUUGAUGUAGUGCAAAUAUUUAUUUUCACUCAAAAUGAGAGAUAUAAAGAAACAAAGGUUUUUAAGUCCGGAAUCGUUGCUUUUGUCAACCAAAACAAAUAGACAGUGGAGAUAUUCUUGUCUGGGGGACCCCAUAUUGAAGGAACGUCUGCGAAAACAAUUGAGACAUAAAAGAAAGGAAAUUGUUAAGAACAAAGAAAUGUUCACGAGAUCGACGGGGAAACAACGCCAAUCUUUAUACAAUACAAGCAGACCGAAAAUUUCAACAUCCGAUACAUAUUCCGUGUCAAUUUCUCAAAUUCAAUAUCUGAAGGUAUAUCGAAACUCAGCAUUUAUUUUCGGUUCAAAGAGGAAAUAUGAUGAAGGCUCUCCUAUGUGCUCGAAGAAACUAAAAGUAAGAAGAAUUCGCUGAUUCUAUUCACAUAUUUGUAUCUAUAUUACGCUGACAGUUCUUUUUACAUACUUUUACAAUGUAUACGAUACUUAUUAUAUACAUAUAUACUUUGUAAUUAGAAUAACAUAGAGAUUCUCAAUUUCUUUUUCUAAU